UGGGGAAUAUUGCACAAUGGGCGCAAGCCUGAUGCAGCCAUGCCGCGUGUAUGAAGAAGGCCUUCGGGUUGUAAAGUACUUUCAGCGGGGAGGAAGGGAGUAAAGUUAAUACCUUUGCUCAUUGACGUUACCCGCAGAAGAAGCACCGGCUAACUCCGUGCCAGCAGCCGCGGUAAUACGGAGGGUGCAAGCGUUAAUCGGAAUUACUGGGCGUAAAGCGCACGCAGGCGGUUUGUUAAGUCAGAUGUGAAAUCCCCGGGCUCAACCUGGGAACUGCAUCUGAUACUGGCAAGCUUGAGUCUCGUAGAAGGGGGUAGAAUUCCAGGUGUAGCGGUGAAAUGCGUAGAGAUCUGGAGGAAUACCGGUGGCGAAGGCGGCCCCCUGGACAAAGACUGACGCUCAGGUGCGAAAGCGUGGGGAGCAAACAGG
rnacentral:rRNA from 1 species